rnacentral:rRNA from 1 species
UACGGAGGUGCAAGCGUUAUCCGGAUUUACUGGGUUUAAAGGGUGCGUAGGUGGGUAGGUAAGUCAGCGGUGAAAUCUCCGAGCUUAACUCGGAAACUGCCAUUGAUACUAUCUAUCUUGAAUAUCCUGGAGGUGAGCGGAAUAUGUCAUGUAGCGGUGAAAUGCUUAGAUAUGACAUAGAACACCAAUUGCGAAGGCAGCUCACUACGGGAUUAUUGACACUGAGGCACGAAAGCGUGGGGAUCAAACAGG